rnacentral:rRNA from 1 species
CCUACGGGAGGCAGCAGUGAGGAAUAUUGGUCAAUGGACGCAAGUCUGAACCAGCCAUGCCGCGUGCAGGAUGACGGCUCUAUGAGUUGUAAACUGCUUUUGUACGAGGGUAAACCCCGAUACGUGUAUCGGGUUGAAAGUAUCUUACGAAUAAGGAUCGGCUAACUCCGUGCCAGCAGCCGCGGUAAUACGGAGGAUCCGAGCGUUAUCCGGAUUUAUUGGGUUUAAAGGGUGCGUAGGCGGCUUGUUAAGUUAGGGGGGAAAUGCCGGGGCUCAACCCCGACACUGCCUCUGAUACUGGUGGGCUAGAGAAGAGUUGCGGUAGGCGGAAUGUAUGGUGUAGCGGUGAAAUGCUUAGAGAUCAUACAGAACACCGAUUGCGAAGGCAGCUUACCGAACUAUAUCUGACGUUGAGGCACGAAAGCGUGGGUAGCAAACAGGAUUAGAUACCCUUGUAGUC